rnacentral:rRNA from 1 species
UACGAAGGGGGCUAGCGUUGCUCGGAAUCACUGGGCGUAAAGCGCACGUUAGGCGGAUUGCUAAGUCAGGGGUGAAAUCCUGGAGCUCAACUCCAGAACUGCCUUUGAUACUGGCGAUCUUGAGUCCGGGAGAGGUGAGUGGAACUGCGAGUGUAGAGGUGAAAUUCGUAGAUAUUCGCAAGAACACCAGUGGCGAAGGCGGCUCACUGGCCCGGUACUGACGCUGAGGUGCGAAAGCGUGGGGAGCAAACAGG